UGGUUAAUAUAUUGUCUGGUUGAAGUGUCU
rnacentral:piRNA from 1 species